GACGAACGCUGGCGGCGUGCUUAACACAUGCAAGUCGAACGGAAAGGCCUGUCCUUCCUUGUGUUGGACGGGUGCUCGAGUGGCGAACGGGUGAGUAACACGUGAGUGAUCUGCCCCCAACUUGGGUAUAAGCCUGGGAAACUGGGUCUAAUUCCCGAUAGGACUGCAGGGUGGUGCCUGUGGUGGAAAACGAUUUUCUAGUGGUUGGGGAUGAGCUCGCGGCCUAUCAGCUUGUUGGUGGGGUAAUGGCCUACCAAGGCGGCGACGGGUAGCCGGCCUGAGAGGGUGGACGGCCACAUUGGGACUGAGAUACGGCCCAGACUCCUACGGGAGGCAGCAGUGGGGAAUAUUGCACAAUGGGCGGAAGCCUGAUGCAGCGACGCCGCGUGGGGGAUGACGGCCUUCGGGUUGUAAACUCCUUUCGACCGCGAGGAAGCCGCCUGGUUGGAAGGGUGGUGACGGUAGCGGUAGAAGAAGCACCGGCUAACUACGUG
rnacentral:rRNA from 1 species